rnacentral:rRNA from 1 species
UACGGGGGGAGCAAGCGUUGUUCGGAUUUACUGGGCGUAAAGAGCGCGCAGGCGGUCGUUCAAGUCGCGUGUGAAAGCCCCCGGCUCAACUGGGGAGGGUCACGCGAUACUGAUCGACUGGAAGGCAGGAGAGGGUAGUGGAAUUCCCGGUGUAGUGGUGAAAUGCGUAGAUAUCGGGAGGAACACCAGUGGCGAAGGCGGCUUCCUGGUCCAUUACUGACGCUGAGGUGCGAAAGCGUGGGGAGCAAACAGGG